rnacentral:rRNA from 1 species
GAUGAACGCUGGCGGCGUGCCUAAUACAUGCAAGUCGAGCGAACAGACGAGGAGCUUGCUCCUUUGACGUUAGCGGCGGACGGGUGAGUAACACGUGGGUAACCUACCUAUAAGACUGGGAUAACUUCGGGAAACCGGAGCUAAUACCGGAUAAUAUUUCGAACCGCAUGGUUCGAUAGUGAAAGAUGGCUCUGCUAUCACUUAUAGAUGGACCUGCGCCGUAUUAGCUAGUUGGUAAGGUAACGGCUUACCAAGGCAACGAUACGUAGCCGACCUGAGAGGGUGAUCGGCCACACUGGAACUGAGACACGGUCCAGACUCCUACGGGAGGCAGCAGUAGGGAAUCUUCCGCAAUGGGCGAAAGCCUGACGGAGCAACGCCGCGUGAGUGAUGAAGGUCUUCGGAUCGUAAAACUCUGUUAUUAGGGAAGAACAAACGCGUAAGUAACUGUGCACGUCUUGACGGUACCUAAUCAGAAAGCCACGGCUAACUACGUG